UGAAACCAACAAUUGUAGAGAGGAAGUCAAAUGCAUAACUUCUACUUCUUGUACUUGUGGAAUCAGUUAAAGCUUGAGGGUUCAAUUUUGUUCUUGACCUCAAAUAGCUUAAAAGUACAUUAAAUUGUGAAUUUUCUAUGAACCAUUCAAAAAGACUUGGUGAUAUUUUGUGAUAAAAAUAUUAUAAAAUCAGACAUGAAGCUUGAUCAAAUAAAUGUAUUCAUGGAAGAGGCUCAGAGUUACUUAAGAGAUAUUAACUUGAUGAUAUUUUACAUUUAAUAAUUUAAGAAUAAAAUCACACAUUUAUGGGAAGAAACAUUAUCUUCCUUCCAAAGCUAAAAGGCUCCCAUCCAUCCAUCCAUUCAUUCAAACAUUCAUUCAGAAUUUAUUUAUCAUAGGCCUAUUAUAUGCCAGAAAGUCUUUUAGGAAUUGGGAAUAUAGAAAUAAGCAUAACAAACUCCUAUCUUUAUAUUUGAAGAUAUGUUACUUUUUAAUAAAGAGAGACAGAUAAUAUAAACUUAAAAAAUAUAGAAUAUGUCAGGUGAUGAUAAAUGCUAUGAAGGAAAACAAAGUAAGGAAGACAAAGAGUGAAAGGUAUUGGUAUUUUCUACAGAGUGGUCAGAAAAGGCCUCUCCAGGAAAAUAACAUUUGAGCAGAGGCUUUGAAAGGAGUGAGGGAAGAGUUAUGCAGAUAUCUGGGGGAAGACUGUUCCAGAGUGGUUGAGUCAGAGUGAGAGAAUGACAGUGGCAGGAGCUGAGGUUAGUGAGGCAGUGGGGGGUUAGCAAGUUGAAGGCAGAUAAUAUGGGGCUCUGUGGGCCAUCAUGAGGACUUCAGCUUUUACCUCGGCAUGAGAUGGGAAACCACUGGAGAAUCUAGAGGAGAAAGGGAUGAUCUGCCCUUCAACAGGAUCAUCCAGGCUACUCCGGUGAAUAUAGACCAUAUGAGGGCAAAGAUUGGAAGCUAGGUGAGCAGUUAGAAGGCUACUGCAAUAGCUAUGUGAGAGAGAUGAACUAGGAGAGUAGCAGUGGAGAUCUGAGAUACGGCAAAGUCUAGAUAUAACACAAAGGAAUAGCCGACAGAAUUUGCUUUUGGAUUGGCUGUAUUGUAGGAGAGAAAAAAUAGGGUGCAUUUUUGGGUUGAGCAAAGAGAAGAAUGAAGAUUCCUUGUACUGAGAUGGGGAAAACUGCAGGAGGAGUGGGUCUGAAAGAGGCAAGUUGGUUGCCAUGUUGUGAGCAGCCCCCUUGAAAGGCCCAUGUGAUGAUGAAUUGAAACCUCCUGUCAACAGCCAUGUGAGUGACCUAGGAAGCAGAUCCUGCAGCCCAGUCAUGCUUCAGAUGAGGCAUAUCUGAGGCACAGAGAGGUUAAGUUGGGGACUGAAGUGUGGCUCCAGAAUCUAAGUUUCUAACUGCCAUGCUAUGGUAAGUGAGAUUGGUAAGUGCACAUGAGGAACUCGUGAGCCUCAAAGUCAUUCAUCAAUGCAGCAUUCAAUGAUGGCUUACAUGAAGGUAUAGAGGUAGGCUCAUCACUUUUACCCAAACUCAAAAAACUGAAUUUUUAUUAAGAAAGAAGAAAGCAUGGAAGAUGGGCACCACCCUUCAUAAAUGGUCAUUUAAUUGGUUUUGGGUGCAUCCCAGGAAAUCAAAUUUCAAAAGCUCCCUAGGUGAUUCCAAUGUGCAGUUAGUGUUAACAAAUACUGUCGUAAGAAUUUUUCUUUUUAUAUUAAUUUAAAUAUCCAUUAAAAGAUAAGAACAGUUGAAACCACCUUUUCAAAAUGAUGACAGUAAGAUAAAUCUGAUAUAGUUGGCUCCAUCUUGCUUCUGACCUCCUUUGGUCAUUCCUGGAUGUAGGCCAAGGUAACUGUGGGAGGAAUUUAGUUUAUAGUUUAACUUUGAAGCAAGGAUGAUAAUAGUCUCUCCCUAAAACUACUCCCCUCCUUAUUCAGGGGCUGAAAAUACCUUUAUCAAACUAAUAAAAGGCCGCAAGAUUAGGAUUAUGGGAGGGGCCUGAGUUCUGCUAAAAUGUGGGCAUAGUUUUCAUAAUCCCUUUCUGCUCAGGAGUCAUGUGGCCAGAGGUCACAAUGUUUGUGACUUCCCCAAUUGCUCCUAUAGAUAACAUCACAUUGUGGAACCUAAGAUUGUUCUUUUGAGAUGUUUUUCAGACUGACCCCACUGGACUCAUGACUCAUGGACUCAGCUGGUCCUGUGGCCCUACCCAGAAGUGGACUCAGCACACGAGGACCAUUUCCCACACUCCUGUGAUUUCAUCCCCAAUUAUUCAGCAGUACCCUUUCCAUAGCCCCUUGCCCACCAAGUUGUCCAUAAAAACCCUAGCCUCUGAGCUUUUGGGGAGAUGGAGUUGAGUAAUAACUCCAUCUACUGCAUGGCUGGCCUUGUGUCAAUUAAACUUUUUUCUUUACUGCAAUAACAUGGUCUCAGUGAACUGAUUUUGUUCAUGCAGGAGGCAGGAAAAGCCCCUUGGGUGAUUACACAGUGGUUCUCAAAGUAUGGACCUCCAACCAGCAGCAUCAGCAGCAUCUGGAUACUUGCUAGAAAUGGAAAUUCUCUGGCCCUAUUCCAGGCCUUCCAAGUUGGAAACUUUGUGAUGGGGCCCAGCACUCUGUGUUUUAACAAGCCCUCUAGCCUUAAGGAAAACAACUCUGAGGACUUUUGUCACGGACUUGAAAUUCUCAUCUGUGCUUGGACAAGACUCUGAAACAUACCAACUGUGUAUUUUCCUGCCUUUGGUAAAUCUGGAGCUAUUAACUGAUUCUAAAGAACAUUUGACUUAAAAAGACUAUGGAAAGCCCAAAGAAUAAAGGGACACUUGUCACUGGAUUGAAGGCAUAUUCUAAUUUAGGACAAUGUCUUGAGAUCUUUAACUUAACUACAUUUGCAAAGACCCAAUUUCCAAGUAACUGGAACAUUCACUUCAGGCGUAAGAAUUUCAAUUCCCACACCUACGUUUUCCCCAAGCAAGAUUAGCAAGAUUAUUCCACAUACAGAGAAAUUCAUUACUAAGUCAGCUGCCCAACUUCUUUUUAAGAUAAUGAAGACCCCAGUGGAUUAUUAUUAGCAAAUGAAAACUGGAUAUCAAGAAGGGCAAAAUCUUCAACCUUAUCAGCAGAAAGAGUUUAUGUAAAAAUAUACCACAUAGAAUAACUAAAAAAAUAAGCAAGUGAUACCUUAUCUGAGCUCAAAAUAUCUGUUUCUUUGCAAAUGGAUAAAGGAUUUAUUAUAUUAUAGCACCUUGAGGACAGAGACUUUAUGUUUCUAACUACCCAUCCCAGCAUCAUCUAGUUCAUUCCUAUGCUGAACAGCCCCUAACACAUUGCCUAAAUAAAUACUAACAUUAUAUGUGUGCAAUGAAGUAUUCUUUUGCUAAAAGCAAAACUUUCAUAUGGUCUUACAAUAAGCCACUUGUAAGACUAGUUUUAAAUAAUUACUGAUACAAAUGCUGCCACUGCCCCCAAAGAAACCUGAAUAAAAUUAUGUUAGGCUGCACUAAUUUCAGUGUCAAGCUAUUUAACUCUGCUGAUAGUCAUUUUUUUAAAGAUCUUUUGAUCUUUAAAUUGAGAGAGUUGAACUAAAUAAUCUUUUAGAUAUCUUCUAGUUUAAUAUUCUAAGAUUCUAGUAAAUAUAUUGUGUUUGGUCAGGUGUGGUGGCUCAUGCCUGUAAUCCCAACAUUUUCAGAGGCUG
rnacentral:lncRNA from 1 species